GCAGUUUUUGGUCACACGAUAGCUUGAUAUGGAGAACCUACGUUGUUUACAGAAAGACAGAGAUAGUACAAGGUUCAUGCAGUACUUUUUUUAGGAUUUGAGAGAUAUCUAGAAGGAAGUAUCGAGACUAUGUUAAGGUUUCUUUUGAUGUCUGUGAUAGUUGUGUGUGUUUUAUCAGUUCCAAACAGAGGCAAGCGAUUCCUUGUAGACUCAGGGAUCACGGGAAAUUGUCUUCAAGGUCACGAAAACUGUCAUCAUUGUGGUACUUACACAUUGAUUAACGGGGUAUAUUUAUGCUGUAAAGAGUGCGAUGAAAGUAUCAUGACGUCACCCUCGGGUUCAGGAGGCGUGACUUGUCACUGUAGCAACCACGACCAACCAAACGCAUUCAUGAAUGGCAACGCUUUUCCGAUUCCUGACGGCAUAUGAAUUGUUUUCUCUUUUGAUCAUAAUUAAAAAAAAAAUAUUUCUUCACA